rnacentral:piRNA from 1 species
UCAGCCACGUCUGCACAAUCAUUUC